GACGAACCGUGCGAACGUUAUUCGGAAUCACUGGGCUUAAAGCGCGUGUAGGCGGAUGGGUGCGUCGGAACCUGAAAGCCCCCGGCUCAACCGGGGAAGUGGGGCCGAAACGACCCGUCUGGAGGGACGUAGGGGGAUCUGGAACUUCCGGUGGAGCGGUGAAAUGCGUUGAGAUCGGAAGGAACGCCCGUGGCGAAAGCGAGAUCCUGGACGUCUUCUGACGCUGAGACGCGAAAGCUAGGGGAGCAAACGGG
rnacentral:rRNA from 1 species